CCUGUCCCACAUUGUAAGCAUCUGUUGAAUUGAUACAGCUUGAAACCAUUGUAGCUGCCAUGACUCAAUGCUUUGGAAUCAUGGUAGUUGCAGUUUUACAAGAUUUUUACCCUUCUCUGCCAAAAAGUGCUGGUUUCUAAGCAAACUACAAAGAUGCUUUUACAAUGUUAAUCUGGAACUACAGUUUCAGGUUGAUUGUGACCACUUCAGAGAGGCAUAUAAAAAUGUCAACACAGUCACUGAUUGGCCUCUUUAUGCUUUGCUGACUAGCUUGUUGUGAUAUAUUCCUUAGCCUACACUUUCUUACUUCUUCUGUUUGAGGCAUAUAUCAAGCUCUGAUGUGAUUCAGAGCAGGAAAGAUUAUUGAUUGACCAUUAGGACAACAUGCUGCUCAUUAGAUGAUAGCCACUGUGGAAGUAAUAGGAACAUGAGAGACUAAUAAUAAAUGAAGUAUCUUCAUUCAUGGCAUAGCCCACAUGAAGCUUGUCUAGUCUAAGGAUAGUUGUGUUCACCUCAUGAAACAGUUAAAUGUAGAUUAUAGAUCAGGGUCUUCAAACUAUUGCAUCUCUGCAGUGAUAAUACAGAACUGAAAUAGGUGGAAAUGAUUUUGGUUUAGGAAAAAUGGUAGAUAAAGCUACAUAAUAGAGAUGUGCAUUAUUAUAAUGGGUUAGAUGAAGUUGGAAGAUUUUACACAUACACCCAUUAACAUUCUUAGCUUUGGAGUCUAUAUUUGUUUAAUGCUGUAUGGUUCUCAUCAUCCUUAUUGACUUUGUAUUGAUGUCUGAAAUCAUUUUGUCAUGGACCCUAGAACUUUAGCAGAGUCUCCUUAGCUUUCAUCCAACAACAUUUAGUUCUAACAAAUUGACUUCUAAAGUGAAAGUCCCUUUUUGCAAGUCCUUUAUUUCUCCCAGGAAGUCCCUUAACAAGUUCUUUCUAUGUCUUGGAAACUUUCCUACACCUCAAUUUCAACUUCAAAAGGCAUUCAGCACUGUCCUUGAAAAAAAUGUUGUUCAGAUCUAUCUUGUGAAGGUCAUUUCCAUUCAUGUGUUAGUCUUCAUUCAUUUUGCUUACUUUUCUGCAAUGCUUAUGUGACUAGUAAGAGAUUAGCUCUGUUUUUAAAUUAGAUCUGUGAACAGUUGCUCAAUGAUUUAGUUCGGCAGCUCAUUGUACUAGGUUCCCAUUUUUACUCCUGUUUGUUUCUUCUUCAGUCCCCAUUCUCAUUUGGAUCAUCAACUUUUUCUAAAGGAUUUAGGUGGCUCACAAUAGAAUUUUUAGUUUUUGAAAUCUGUGGUUUGCCACCAAUUCUCUGGUAAAUAAAACAAGGAGGAGUUUGACAGAUACUAAUUUAGCUUCUCUGGUCAUCUCAAUUUCCCUCUUUUCCAUGGUAACACUGAACAAGAACUAGAUGUUCACAACUGUCAAAAACUAUCAUGGAAAAUUUCUCAUAUUCCUGAGUCUGCAAACAUAUUCUAUGAGCCAUUUGAUUGGAGUGGUUUUGUUCUCCACAAUCCAUAGAACAAGUGUAAUGGCAGAUGCUUGUGUCUGGUGCAGGGCAACACUGGGCCAUUUAAGCCUGCUCAAGCCUGGAAAAGGCCUUUUUGUUGGUUGCUGUAUCUCACCUGUCUUAUUUAUAUAUAGCAUGGUAUUCCCGAUUAUCUUUUGAGCUAAAUAGGAUUUUUUCUGUGCCUUGAUUGCCCAUUGGAUUUAUUAUUAUUAUUUGAUACACAGCAAGAUUAGUACACAGCAAACAAGAUCGCUAUGUUGGCUAUUGUAUUGAAUCACAUGUUGGACACUUCCCAAGUGUCUAGGACUGUGUGAUGUAUCAGUGAAUAAUGUAUACAGUUCUGAGUAGGGUGGCCUUUUGUAGCAGACAGAUAGUAAUUUUGUCAGUGCCAAUUGUGUUUAAAUGCAGGCCAAGAUCUUUAGGCACUGCACCCAGUGUGCCGAUCACCACUGGGACAAUCUUUACUGGCUUAUGCCAGAGUCUGGUGGAGCCCGUGGGGAACCCAUCACAUCUCACUCCGCAUUGCCCACCUUGCUCCUCAGUCCUCACCACAUCCCAUGGGGGGAAACGUUUGCCACCUGGCUUCCCUCUGUUCUUGCUUAUGCAACACAGGAAGCUUCCCAUGCUGCUGCCAUGGCAACUUAACAUGCUUUCACUUCUCUUGCACCACAGAGCACAGCUGGAUGUAGAUCGAUGUGAGAUGAGAGCUAGCAGACUCCAUGCUACAAGUGAAGUGUCAUACAACAGGCAGUUUUGCCCAUCUGAUGAGGCCCUGACACACAACUCCAAAAGGCUUACCAGAGUCAGUUGAAAAAAAUCUUAUUGCUGCAUAUAGACUACUGAAUUGUCAAGGAUGACUGAGGUUGGUAGAUCAUCAGUAGUACAUCAUCCUGGUGAGUGGGAGUCAUUUUAGCAGCAGACUUUUUCUCAGUUCUCCAAGGAUAAUGAAUGACAUGCACUUACUUUUCUGUCACAAGAAAAAAAUGACACCUCAUAUUGAUUUCUUUUUCAUCUAAAGAAGAUAAAAGAUGAAUAAACCACUUCUUUGGGUGGAUUCUAUAACAAUAAAGCAACAAAUUUUGCAUACCAUUUUCCCUAACAAUUAUGUUUAAAAAUAAUUAUAAAUCUACCUUUCUAUAUAGUAAUAUAAAUACAGUAACUUACCAGGUUGUGUAUUGCAACACCAAAAUUCUCCCUUUUAAAUUUUAUUAUUUUUCUCUAUUCUUAAUACAACACAUGCAAUUAAAAACCAGUAUUUAAUUUCCAUUUGAUAUUUUUAUGUUUUUGAUACCACUAAAACUGUUGCUGUAACCCUAUAUGAGUGUGCAUUAGGUAAAUGGAAUCAUUCCAUGUAAAUUUGCUCUUACCAGUAUGCAAGCAUCCCAGGACACAAUGCUUCCAGUACACAAUGAUGCCCUCCCCUUUUGCAGGCAUUUGCACUUUCUGACAUGGAUGCUGAGGUGAAGAAUGACAUGCUGUAGUCAAUUUGGAAGCAGGGCUAUAUGGUGGUCUCAGUCAACAAUCGUGUGUUGUUUUGAUAAGAACUUAGUCUGACCAUAGUAACAUAAGAUCCAAGAAAUCAGAGAGAAGUUCAAACCAAGAGUAGGGAUGCUAUAUGUCCAACGGGGACACAUUAUAUGACCAGACAGAAUAAAAAGGAUGUAAGUGACACCUAGUGAAACUAUAUAAAAGCUAAACAUGUGAUAUGGAAAGAAGGAAUAGUUUGAGAGGAAGCAGCACUGAGAAGUGGAGGAAGGAAGAUCAACAGUUUAAGAUAUGCAUGUAGCACAAUAUUACUUACAGAAAAUAGCAAAAACAUGAAAGAAUUAUUGAUAAAAAUUAAGGAAGAAAGUAAAAAAGCUGGUUAUAGCUGACUAUUAAAACAAAUGAACAAAAUGAUGACCACAGAUAAUUUACUUAACUUUAAAACUGGUAAUGCAGAUAUUAAAAUAAAGAUUUUCUAUACCUUCAAUCAAUAAUCUCAAUAUAGACUAGAGUAAAAAAUAUCUAUGAAAGUCUGUGACCUGGAAGGACAACUCUGAAACUACUAGAUCAGAUUCUCUAGUGUGUGGAUAGACAGGUAGAUAGAUGAUAUAAAGUCAUCCAUGCCAUAAUAGUUUUACCUCCUCUGUGUGAAUGUAAUAGCUGGGCAAUGAAGAAAGCUGACUGGAAGAAAAUAAACUUAAAGUAGACUUCAUUAACUGGCACUCAUGGGGAUUGGUAGAUAGAUGCCAGAUAAAUGUAGUUUCUAGUUGCUUGAGAAAUAUUAUUAAAAAUAGGUCUAAUAUUAUACUAUACAAUCCCAUAAACUCUGUAGUGAAAUACAGAAGAAAAUAAAGACAAAUAAAGACAGACAUAAUGUGACACUGUUUUAUUGCAUUAGUUAAAGUAAAGGUAAAGGUUUCUCCUGACAUUAAGUCUAGUCAUGUCCGACUCUGUGGGUUGGUGCUCAUCUCCAUUUCUAAGCCGAAGAACUGGCAUUGUCCAUAGACACUUCCAAGGUCACGUGGCCAGCAUAACUGCAUGGAACGCUGUUACCUUCCUGCUGGAGCAGUAACUAUUGAUCUACUCAUAUUUGGAUGUUUUUGAACGGCUAGGUUGGCAGAAGUUGGGGCUAACAGUGGGCACUCACCUCGCUCCCUGGAUUCGAAUCACCAGCUUUUCAGUCAGCAAGUUCAACAGCUCAGCGGUUUAACCCGUUGCAUCACCGGGCAUUAUAAAUAUAUAUAUGCUAGAAUAGAGUCAUCUGAGUUUGUGAUACUUCUGUUAGUUAUGGUCCAUUUACUUUAGUGGUCUAACCUAAUUCUUGAAGAUACACAGUAACAAACAACAACAAACAAAUAUUGCUAUUAGUCAAUAGCCUCUUUCCAAGUUAUAUAGGCGGCUGGUUGAUUAUGUAUGGGUCGGGUAGAGAUCACUUUGCUGUCCUCCAUGGCAUGUGGUCAGAUUUAAUUGCAUCCUGGCACCAUAUACAAAUGGAGCUAAGUUAUUUAAGGCAGCUACAGUUCUAUCUCUUAGUAUUUGGAGAUUGUCCAUCCAUCCUUCUGCUUCUGGUCAUAGUGCAAGUCUCUGGUCAGUACAGAGCCAGGUAGAUUUUGUCCCUUACAUUAUGUCCCCUCCCCCACCCCUGGGCUCCCCAACACUGUCAUGGGGGACUUCACAAUUGGCUCAGAGUGGUGUUGUCCACAGGACUUUCUGGCAGGUUUUGAAGGGUCAAUGAACACCAUCUGUCAGACAUUUGGUGAAGGAUGGGAAUUUGGAACUGUCCCUGAGUAUCAAGAGCUCAAGAAGAAAGAAGUUUUUUUGUAGCUGGCUUGGGAGCAAUCCUGCAUUUCAGAGAUUCCUCUCAGAGAUUAUAGUGUUUUCACCUAGGAGAAACUGGAGUCUGUGGUCUGGAAAAAAAACUACUACUCCCAUUGCUCCCACACCAGAUUGUUCUCUCCUUUUUAAUUUUGCUUAUGACCAAAAACAAUUAAAUAAGUUAAUAAUUAAUAAAGUUUAUCCCAUAUUUUGUGUCUGGUCUUGUUAUUCCUUGGUUGACCAAGGGAUAAUAAAUGUAUUUACAUGAGCCAGUUUUAAUUAUUCUGUGAGGACAAGACAUUAACCUUUGCUGUAAAAUGGAGAGAUAAUUAACUGGUGGGAGUGCUUAUAACAAAUUUCCAGUAUUACUUUGAUAUCUCUAUCUAAGACAGUGGUUCUCAACCUGUGGGUCCCCAGGUGUUUUGGACUACAACUCCCAGAAGUCUCAGCCAGUUUACCAGCUGUUGGGAUUUCUGGGAGUUGAUGGCCAAACAUCUGGGGACCCAUAGGUUGAGAACUACUUAUCUAGGGUGAGCUAGUUUGAACAAUAUGAAGUUGCUAUAAAUCUAAAUAUUUUUAGUUGUUUUGAUUGUGCUAAAAAGUCAUAAUAUUCUCCAGUAGAGAAGUUUAAGAACACACUCCCCCAUUUUCAUUGUCCCUGGCUGCAAUAGGAUUUAGUCAAUUGUUCUAAGGCCAUUCGAGGAAGACACAUGAAGCAUGAAAAAUCACCUUUAAUACAACUCACCAUUUAAAAAUUUACCAUUUAUCUCGACUUACUGCUAACAGUGUGAAUGGCACUGAUGGAUAUCGAAUUUUUGUUGUUGUUUUGAGUCAUAUCUAACCCUCUGACAAUGCUUUUAUUUAUGUUAGCAAAGCUGAUGAAUACGUCUGUUGAACAUCUUAAGUUUCUCUCCCCCCACCUUCAACCUUUUCUAAUAAUGUCAUUAGGAGUUGCAAGUUCAAUGAUUUGGUUUUCUAUAAAUACAUUACAUUGUUGGAGAAUAAAUCAGAAACAUAAAUUAUGAUAGUAUUAAUCUCCUUUGCAAGACUGGAUUGCAAACAAUAGGACAGUGAUUGAUAGACAGAAAGACAGCUAUCAAGACAGGGAUUUUUUUAUGUGAUGGUUGUGAAAGUAAAGAUACAGUCUACUGUGUGAACUACUUUUAUCUGAAAACUGGGUGUAAAAAGGCACAGGAGUGUUUCUGUAAUAGCCUAAAAUUUUGUAAUUCAAGUUGCUUGUUUCUUCACGUACUAUACCAGCAGUGAAAUAAUCCAAACUAUGAACAACCGUUUGCUAAAUAUUCAAGAUAAUGAACAUACUAUCCAUGUCUUUAAAAGUACCAUCAAUGACAAAAUGUAAAAGAAAUACAUUAAAUUCCCAAUUAUUGAUGAACACUUUUGCAGUUCAGGGUUUCUUCAUGCAAAAAUUACACAUGGUUGAUUUGCACAGAAAGUCAUGUUUUCUGCACAGCAUUUUCUUUGCCAAAAACAAUGUGUUGUUUUAUUUUUAUUGAAAUGCUUGUUAUUCUUUUUAAAUAGAUAUAUAAAUAAAACAGUAUUUGCAAAAGUUAAGUCUCUGUCCCUUUUCUCCAUUGUACUAUUUUUAUUUUAACAUUUUAGAGGUAUAUAGAAUGACAUUCUACUUUCAAGGGAAGGGAAGCCAUAGUAUCUUGAUUCUCUUUUUCCUCUUAUCUCCUUACUAGAAAAUUAUUCCAUAGGUUAUGGAAGCCACUGAGUUCAAAUAUUAGUAGGUUUAAUUAUUAAUUACUUAAUUAGCAAUUAAUUAAUUCUGCAUUUUCCCAACACAUAAUCAAUUUAAUUAAUUUAAUUCAUAGAAAAAUAUAUUUCUAGAAUCAUAGAGUUGGAAGAGACCUCACGGGCCAUCCAGUCCAACCCCCUGCAAGAAGCAGGAAAAUCUCAUUCAAAGCACCCCCGACAGGUGGCCAUCCAGCCUCUGCUUAAAAGCCUCCAAAGAAGGAGCCUUCACCACAUUCCGCGGCAGAGAGUUCCACUGCCGAACAGCUCUCACAGUGAGGAAGUUCUUCCUGAUGUUCAGGUGGAAUCUCCUUUCCUGUAGUUUGAAGCCAUUGUUCUGCGUCCUAGUCUGCAGGGCAGCAGCAAACAAGCUUGUUCCCUCCUCCCUAUGACUUCCCCUCACAUAUUUGUACAUGGCUAUCAUGUCUCCUCUCAGCCUUCUCUUCUGCAGGCUAAACAUGUCCAGCUCUUUAAGCCGCUCCUCAUAGGUCUUCUUCUCCAGACCCUUAAUCAUUUUAGUCACCCUCCUCUAGACGCCUUCCAGCUUAUCAACAUCUCCCUUCAACUGCAGUACCCAGAUUUGGACACAGUAUUCCAGGUGUGGUUUGACCAAGGCAGAAUAGAGGGGGAGCGUGACUUCCCUGGAUCUAGAUGCUAUACACCUAUUUAUGCAAGCCAAAAUCCCAUUGGCUUUUUUCGCCACCACAUCACAUUGUAGGCUCAUGUCUAAGUUGUUGUCCAUGAGGACUCCAAGGUCUUUUUUACAUGUACUGCUGUCGAGGCAGGCAUCCCUCAUUCUGUACCUUUGCAUUUCAUUUUUUCUGCCUAAGUGAAGUAUCUUGCAUUUGUACCUGUUGAACUUCAUUUUGUUAGUUUCGACCUAUCUCUCUAAUCUGUCAAGAUCGUUUUGAAUUCUGCUCCUGUCUUCUGGAGUGUUAGCUAUCUCUCCCAGUUUGGUGUCAUCUGCAAACUUGAUGAUCUCAAAUUUUCACAAAAAUGUUCCAUGUGCAGCUAAGGUAGUAUCUUUGGGUGGAAUGUCUUUGUAGAAAACCAUUGUCUAUGUCAUCUCUUUGGCCGUGGUCCUUUCUCUGAAGUUAUGAGGUAGGAAGAAUUUAAUUUUAAAGAUUCCUUUGAAAAAAAGAUGUACAAUAGCCAACAAAACUGCAAACAAAUAUUUGUUGCUUGGUAAAGUUAACCACACUUGAGUUUACACAGUAAAUAUAUAAGCCAAAAAUGACACUUUGCUGGAAUAGGCUCAAUGGCCCCAGAAGAAAAAUGCUUACUUGUUAGAAAAUCAAUUCCUGUAUGUUGGUCUCCUCUGAUCUAACUAGCACAUAGUACUAUUUACUACACUUCACAACAGCCAUAACAGAUAGAGUUAUAUAGCAGAUGUCCCGAGGAUAAAUGGCUUCAAUUAUUUUAUUCUGCAGAACAAUAAGAGUCAUGUUGAUGAUGUUGCUGCAAUGAGAACAAUUGCACUAUUUCCACUUGUUAGACAGCAUCAGCUGUAUUGAGGGAGCCUUAACACAGAGCUUGUUAUCAAUUGUGGAAAUGUUAGCCACAGAGCUGGAUACAGGUUUGUCUGAGCCAGUUUUGUAACUGAACAGUAAAGUAUGGAAUUAAAACUGGGUCACAUCCCUAUAACAAUUUUGACCUGUGUCCAAAUUAAGCUUAAUGCAAUGUGUGUCUUGUGUGCUUGGCUAUACAUUUUCUUAAGAGUAUAUCCACAUGGCACUAAAGAACGGACAUUGAUUUACUUCCAUAACACAUCUAACAUUCCACAUACCUAGGAAUAAAACCCAUACUGGCUUUUGUUUACCAGUACAGGUUUGAUUCUUGGGUAUCUGUAGAGUGCUAUCAAUCCAAAUAAAUCUAUAGCAUAGCUUUUGAUGAUUCAUAGAACUUGGGAACUGGAAAAGAUGAAAGGGUUAUCACCCUGCACAACAAAGAGCCCUUCCUCUACCAUCUUGUAGAAGAAUUAUGAACUAUGGAAAC